UCAUCUCCUCCCUCCAUCUUCCUCUUCCUCUUCUUCACCCUCUUCCCCUCUUUCUUCAUCUCAUACGAGGAUGUCAACUCUCUCCAAAAUAGGAAAUCAAGUGCAAGCUCAUUUAAAGUGCAAUUCCCAAACACGCCUUAGCCCAUUGAAUUGAAACCUAUAGCUCUCUUCGCUCCAAACCAUCCUCAAAUUAUGUCCAGAUCCGUGAAUGAAACCUAACCCCCCAAAUCGAUUUUGCUCCACAAUCGAAGGAGAAAAUCAUUUGUUAGAAGUGAAGGAGCUUCAUCGAGCCAAACAUGAUGAAACUUUUCAGUUCAUGCUUCCCCUGAUGUCCUGCUGCAAUUUGAAACUGAUUGUGUGAAUAAUGGACCAGCAGCUUCCAUGCCUAUGACAAACCAGAUGCAUCUGUUCUGGAGAACGGCUCUACUCAUGCCAACGGAAAUACUGUUUACGAUGCUCAACGUCCCUGCAGUUACCAUCAGUUUUUUUGCAAGAGCUCAUCAGACAUGGAUCAAAUUGCAGUUCGUACUGUCACACUUGGGAUGUAUUUCAGCUUGCACAUGCCUCCUUUAGGCUUCAUUGCAUUCAAAGUAAUCUGGUCCUUCAUGAUAACACCCUGGAAGUUAAUGAUAAAUUGGGCCCUAAUCUUCUUGGGGAACCUCCAAAUAUUAGUGUAACUCUACCUGAGAUGGUCCCAAGGAUGAUGAAGAAAGCGUCUUUGGUGACCUUCCGGCCGUGAAGAUAUAUGAUGAUGAUAUAAACAUGAGGCCUGGCUGUUAGCAGCAAGCAUACAUACAUGUUCUCUGCAGGUGAUGACAAACAAGUUAAAUGUUGGGACCUGGAGCAGAAUAAGGUCAUUCGGUCUUAUCAUGGUCAUCUGAGUGGUGUUUAUUGUUUGGCUGUUCAUCCAACCAUUGACAUUUUGCUCACAGGCGGACGAAAUUCUGUGUGCAGGGUGUGGGAUAUUCGCAGCAAAAUGUAAAUUCAUCCACGUUUGGGGCAUUAUAACACUGUUUGUUCAGUUUUCACACGACCUACGGUAAGUGAUUAGGUCACAAGAGAGUUGGUUAUUAUGCUCCCUCCGUCCCUUAAUAUUUGCUAUGUUUUUGGUAAAAUCAACUUUUUUAUAGUGUCAUGUGAAGGCCCACAAGUGUUAUUGGACAAGCAAAUUGCAUUUGAUAACAUGCUGAAUAUCAUUGAUGUUCGGGAAAAUGAUUGACGUGGCGAAGAAAACGCUUCAUCUUUCUGUUAAAGACUUGGCCAUUGUUUGGUUUAGCUAAAAAUUAGAUUUUUAAUAGAUUUUGAUAAAAGUUUGAUGAAAUGUAUGGUUGAUAAUUUGAUAAAAGUUGUGGAUCCAAUAAAAUGUGGUUGAUAAGAGUUUUAGAAAAUGGGGGCCAAACUGGGCUUAAAGUGAAUGUUCUUAAAAAAGUUUAAAAUAGCUUCGAUUUGCAGGAUCCACAAGUCAUAACACGUUCUCAUGAUACAACUAUAAAUUUCUGGGACCUUAGAUAUGGUAACAUAAUUUUAAGAACUAUCUAUUCUUUCAUUAUAAAUUUUUAACAUUCUCAUUUCUAACUUUCAAAUGCUCAUGUUUUGUCAUUUAACUCUGACAAAUAACUCUUAAGCUUGGAUAGAAUAAAAUUACAAAUGAUUUAUAGCAUGUUUGGGAAGUGUGUAUAUUGUUUAAAUUAUAAAUAUAUAGAAUAAGUGUUGGAUAAGAGGGUAAUACUUGUGGGUUCUAGAAAAUAUGUGGAUAUAAAGUAGUUUAGUGUUUAUAAAAAUUAGUCAAACGUAGGGUUAAAAUACAGAUGUUAAUAGGCCGAAACCAGCUCAUCUAGGCCCACUGCAUAAGCUGGCUCUUGCUUACUAUGGGGUGAGCCAAGCACGAGCCAGCUCAUUUUAAAAUUUUAUGGCCGCCUAGCUCCUUCAAAUGUGCUUACUUUUCUAUAGUGCUAGCUUGAAAUCUCCAUGAGAAUAUGUUCUUGAUGGUUUUGCAUCCAUGCCUGUGAUUAUAAUUCUAAUGAAAGUUUUAGAAGAAAGAGAGUUCUAGUUGUGGGAUGUGGAAAUUCAGGCAUGGAAGUGUUUCUUGAUCUUUGCAACCAUGAUGCAAACCUUCAAUGGUUGUUUGGAGCUCGGUGAGUAAUUUACACAACACAUAACAGACACUUUCAUCCAUUUUCUUUCAAGAAAAUUGAGUUCCAGUAUGUAGAUUCUAAUAUGGUUUAUGGGUUUUCGUUUUCAGGUUCGUGUAUUGUCGGUUCUUACUUAUUUUUCUUCGCUUUUCUUCUUGAUUAUAAUUGGUACAAAUGCCUAAAAUGUGUUAUAUAUCUUUAUCUCUUUUUUUUAUAGAACAGGACCGAUAUUUAAGAUAGGGUGGUUUCACUCACUGCCUAGUCUUUUUUUUUUUUUUUUGAGAAAAUGUAUUGGAUUUUUUGGUGUUUUAGAAUUUUGGAUCUGAAUUUUGUACGAAUAUUGUUACAUUUUAGAGUUCAAUUAAUAAUGAUUAUUGGAGUUAUUUGAUAUA